rnacentral:piRNA from 1 species
UGACAACUGGCUUCAAGUUGGGGUUC